rnacentral:rRNA from 1 species
AUUGAACGCUGGCGGAAUGCUUUACACAUGCAAGUCGAGCGGCAGCGCGGGGCAACCUGGCGGCGAGCGGCGAACGGGUGAGUAAUACAUCGGAACGGUGCCCAGACGUGGGGGAUAGCCCGGCGAAAGCCGGAUUAAUACCGCAUGAGAUCUGAGGAUGAAAGCAGGGGACCUUCGGGCCUUGCGCGUUUGGAGCGGCCGAUGGCAGAUUUAGGUAGUUGGUGAGGUAAAGGCUUACCAAGCCUGCGAUCUGUAGCUGGUCUGAGAGGAUGAACGGCCACAUUGGGACUUGAGACACGGCCCAGAUCCUCCUACGGGAGGCAGCAGU